rnacentral:misc_RNA from 1 species
GAUGAAGAACGCAGCGAAAUGCGAUAAGUAAUGUGAAUUGCAGAAUUCAGUGAAUCAUCGAAUCUUUGAACGCACAUUGCGCCCUCUGGUAUUCCGGGGGGCAUGCCUGUUCGAGCGUCAUUACAACCCUCAAGCUUUGCUUGGUAUUGGACAUUGCCAGUUUCUGGCAGGUCUUAAAAUCAGUGGCGGUGCCAUUUGGCUUCAAGCGUAGUAAUUCUUCUCGCUUUGGAGAUCCAAGUGGUUACUUGCCAAUAACCCCCAAUUUUUUCAGGUUGACCUCGGAUCAGGUAGGGAUACCCGCUGAACUUAAGCAUAUCAAUACGCGGAGGA